GCUCACCGCACACAGCUGCCCAUGUCUCCAAAUCAAUCGAAUAAAAAUACAUAAUCCCGGGCUUAAGGUGAUCUUCAUAAGUUUCAAAGGUCAAAAAUGAU